GUGUCACAGGCUCAGUCUCCAUCCAGAUGUCAAUUUAUGGAAAAAAACAUUCCAGAAAAAUGCACAGCUUCCAGGCCAGGGAGAGGCCAGCCUCCUGCUUCUUGAAGGAGUCUCGGCGCUCAGACAGAUGCAGCCGCCGCAUGACCACCAGCUCAGAGUCCGGCCCGCGGCUGCGGCGCCCCAGCUCCCCGUCCAGCCGCUCACCUGUACCCAGCUUGUCAGCUGACUGGCCUCGGCGCAACCUUGGGGACCGUGCAGUGGCUUAGAUCUGGUGAACUCCUACUCAUCUAUCAAAAUCCUAGCUCCUAAUCAUUUACUUCUCACCUGAUGACCCAUCAAAUCAUUGAACCAAAGGUAUGCAUCCUCUGUCCGUCCAUCCACGCAAUAAGCCAUCUACCUACUAGUUCUAGAAGUUAUCCAACAAGGGCCCUGCCUCUUUACUCGUGUCCAUUCCCUACCCCUAGGCCUCAGCCCCAGAGGACGCCUGGUCUGAGGAAGGCAAAGAUAGCAGAUACACCCAGCCUGUUGGCCAGAGGGACAGACAGCAUUUGGGGUCCACAGAAGGCAGGGAGGGCUUCCUGGAAGAGUAGAUCUUGGCUCUCCUCCAGGAGGCCUUUGCCGCCUCUCUUCUGGAUUGCCCCAGCCAUCCUCUCUCUAGCCUGAUGCUAACCCAGUGGGGCUAGGGGUGUCUGUCUCUGGCUGCCGCUGACAGACUAGGGAUCCUCAGGGUUGGGCAAAGCCACCAUCCUUUCCUGCUCCAGAAUGAGCUUCCAUGCCCUCUCUGUCUCACACAUCCUCCAUGGCUCCCUAUUGCUGCCCCCCAAUUUAAGACCAGCUCUUUGGCUUGGUCCACCCCCUCCCUACCUGCUCUCCACCAGCUUUCACAUCUCUUCUCAUCUUUUGCUCAUGA